rnacentral:rRNA from 1 species
CGAAAGCCUGACGGAGCCAGACCGCGUGGGGGAGGAAGGCCCUUGGGUUGUAAACCCCUUUUCUCAGGGAAGAAACCUGACGGUACCUGAGGAAAAAGCCUCGGCUAACUCCGUGCCAGCAGCCGCGGUAAUACGGAGGAGGCAAGCGUUAUCCGGAAUUACUGGGCGUAAAGCGUUCGUAGGGGGCUCGUCAAGUCUGCUGUCAAAGACCGAGGCUCAACCUCGGGUCGGCAGUGGAAACUGGAUAGCUAGAGGUCGGUAGGGGCAAAGGGAAUUCCCGGUGUAGCGGUGAAAUGCGUAGAUAUCGGGAAGAACACCAGAGGCGAAAGCGUUCUGCUGGGCCGCGCCUGACCCUGAGGGACGAAAGCCAGGGGAGCG